rnacentral:rRNA from 1 species
CCUACGGGAGGCAGCAGUGAGGAAUAUUGGUCAAUGGGCGGAAGCCUGAACCAGCCAAGUCGCGUGAGGGAUUAAGGCCCUGCGGGUCGUAAACCUCUUUUGCCGGGGAGCAGUGGGCCUGACGCGUCCGGACCGGGAGAGUACCCGGAGAAAAAGCAUCGGCUAACUCCGUGCCAGCAGCCGCGGUAAUACGGAGGAUGCGAGCGUUAUCCGGAUUUAUUGGGUUGAGAGGGUGGGUGGUCGGUCAUUUAAGCCGGCGGUAAACUUGCGGGUCCAAACCCCGCAUUGCCGUGGAAACUGGAGUCCUUGAGUGCGCGAGAAGUAGGCGGAAUGCGUGGUGUAGCGGUGAAAUGCAUAGAUAUCACGAAGAACGCCGAUUGCGAAGGCAGCAUACUGGCGCGCAACUGACGCUGAUGCACGAAAGCGUGGGUAUCGAACAGGAUUAGAUACCCUAGUAGUC